rnacentral:rRNA from 1 species
AACGCUAGCUACAGGCUUAACACAUGCAAGUCGAGGGGAAACGACAUCGAAAGCUUGCUUUUGAUGGACGUCGACCGGCGCACGGGUGAGUAACGCGUAUCCAACCUGCCCAUUACCGGGGUAUAGCCCGUCGAAAGGCGGAUUAAUCCCCCAUGCAGUCAGAAUAUGGCAUCAUGAUUUGACGAAAGGUUUAGCGGUAAUGGAUGGGGAUGCGUCCGAUUAGAUAGUUGGCGGGGUAAAGGCCCACCAAGUCGACGAUCAGUAGGGGUUCUGAGAGGAAGGUCCCCCACAUUGGAACUGAGACACGGUCCAAACUCCUACGGGAGGCAGCAGUGAGGAAUAUUGGUCAAUGGGCGAGAGCCUGAACCAGCCAAGUAGCGUGCAGGAUGACGGCCUUAUGGGUUGUAAACUGCUUUUAUAAGGGAAUAAAGUGGGUCUCGUGAGACUUUUUGCAUGUACCUUAUGAAUAAGGACCGGCUAAUUCCGUGCCAGCAGCCGCGGUAAUACGGAAGGUCCGGGCGUUAUCCGGAUUUAUUGGGUUUAAAGGGAGCGUAGGCCGGAGAUUAAGCGUGUUGUGAAAUGUAGUGGCUCAACCUCUGCACUGCAGCGCGAACUGGUCUUCUUGAGUACGCACAACGUGGGCGGAAUUCGUGGUGUAGCGGUGAAAUGCUUAGAUAUCACGAAGAACUCCGAUUG